rnacentral:rRNA from 1 species
AACGUAGGUGGCAAGCGUUAUCCGGAUUUACUGGGCGUAAAGGGUGCGUAGGUGGUUGGGUAAGUCUGAUGUGAAAUCUCCGGGCUCAACCCGGAAAUGGCAUUGGAUACUAUUCGGCUAGAGGUUUGGAGGGGGGACUGGAAUUCUCGGUGUAGCAGUGAAAUGCGUAGAUAUCGAGAGGAACACCAGUGGCGAAGGCGAGUCCCUGGACAACACCUGACACUGAGGCACGAAAGCUAGGGGAGCAAACAGG